ACAGGGAUUGCCCUAGUAACGGCGAGUGAAGCGGCAACAGCUCAAAUUUGAAAUCUGGCCCCAGGCCCGAGUUGUAAUUUGCAGAGGAUGCUUUUGGCAAAGCGCAUACCGAGUCCCCUGGAACGGGGCGCCACAGAGGGUGAGAGCCCCGUAUGGUACGACGCCGAGCCUCUGUAAAGCUCCUUCGACGAGUCGAGUAGUUUGGGAAUGCUGCUCUAAAUGGGAGGUAAAUUUCUUCUAAAGCUAAAUACCGGCCAGAGACCGAUAGCGCACAAGUAGAGUGAUCGAAAGAUGAAAAGCACUUUGAAAAGAGGGUUAAAUAGCACGUGAAAUUGUUGAAAGGGAAGCGCUCGUGACCAGACUUGCGCCGGGCGGAUCAUCCAGCGUUCUCGCUGGUGCACUCCGCCCGGCUCAGGCCAGCAUCGGUUUUCGCCGGGGGACAAAAGCUUCGGGAACGUGGCUCCCUUCGGGGAGUGUUAUAGCCCGUCGUUUAAUACCCCGGCGGGGACCGAGGACCGCGCUUCGGCAAGGAUGCUGGCGUAAUGGUCAUCAGCGACCCGUCUUGAAACACGGACCGAGGAGUCAAGCAUUAGUGCGAGUGUUUGGGUGUAAAACCCGCACGCGUAAUGAAAGUGAACGUAGGUGAGAGCUUCGGCGCAUCAUCGACCGAUCCUGAUGUUUUCGGAUGGAUUUGAGUAGGAGCAUUAACGCUUGGACCCGAAAGAUGGUGAACUAUACUUGAAUAGGGUGAAGCCAGAGGAAACUCUGGUGGAGGCUCGCAGCGGUUCUGACGUGCAAAUCGAUCGUCAAAUUUGAGUAUAGGGGCGAAAGACUAAUCG
rnacentral:rRNA from 1 species